rnacentral:rRNA from 1 species
UGUAAGCGUAUACCAAAGUUGUUGCAGUUAAAACGCUCGUAGUCGGAAUUUGGCAGUUCCGGAUGUGUGCACGUCGUGUGCGCACUUCGCGGGGAUUGCUUUUGUGGUCUUGCGUAGGAUGAGGCACUUUUAUUAGUGAACGUCCUCACGCAACCACUUUUUACUGUGAGAAAAUCAGAGUGCUCAAAGCAGGCAUUUGCCGUGAAUGUAUUAGCAUGGAAUAAUAGAAUAGGACUUGGUUCUAUUUUGUUGGUUUGUUGGGACUGAGUAAUGAUUAAGAGGGACAGUUGGGGGCAUUUGUAUUUCGGUGCUAGAGGUGAAAUUCUUAGAUUACCGAAAGACCAACUGCUGCGAAAGCGUCUGCCAAGGAUGUUUUCAUUGA